rnacentral:rRNA from 1 species
GACGUAGGGCGCGAGCGUUGUCCGGAUUUAUUGGGCGUAAAGAGCUCGUAGGCGGCUUGUUGCGUCGACUGUGAAAACCCGCGGCUUAACUGCGGGCUUGCAGUUGAUACGGGCAGGCUAGAGUUCGGGUAGGGGAGAACUGGAAUUCCUGGUGUAGCGGUGAAAUGCGCAGAUAUCAGGAGGAACACCGGUGGCGAAGGCGGGUCUCUGG